AGGACGAACGCUGGCGGCGUGCUUAACACAUGCAAGUCGAGCGGAAAGGCCCUUCGGGGUACUCGAGCGGCGAACGGGUGAGUAACACGUGAGCAACCUGCCCUUAGCUCCGGGAUAGCUCCGGGAAACCGGAAUUAAUACCGGAUAUGACCUAGGCCGACAUCGGCUGUGGUGGAAAGUUUUUCGGCUGGGGAUGGACUCGCGGCCUAUCAGCUUGUUGGUGGGGUAAUGGCCUACCAAGGCGACGACGGGUAGCCGGCCUGAGAGGGCGACCGGCCACACUGGGACUGAGACACGGCCCAGACUCCUACGGGAGGCAGCAGUGGGGAAUCUUGCGCAAUGGGCGAAAGCCUGACGCAGCGACGCCGCGUGGGGGAUGAAGGCCUUCGGGUUGUAAACCCUUUCAGCAGGGACGAAGCGAAAGUGACGGUACCUGCAGAAGAGCGCCGCUAACUACGUGCCAGCAGCCGC
rnacentral:rRNA from 1 species